rnacentral:rRNA from 1 species
UACGAAGGGGGCUAGCGUUGUUCGGAAUUACUGGGCGUAAAGCGCACGUAGGCGGAUAUUUAAGUCAGGGGUGAAAUCCCAGAGCUCAACUCUGGAACUGCCUUUGAUACUGGGUAUCUUGAGUAUGGAAGAGGUAAGUGGAAUUGCGAGUGUAGAGGUGAAAUUCGUAGAUAUUCGCAGGAACACCAGUGGCGAAGGCGGCUUACUGGUCCAUAACUGACGCUGAGGUGCGAAAGCGUGGGGAGCAACAGGGAUUAAGAAACCCU